rnacentral:rRNA from 1 species
GUGAGGAAUAUUGGACAAUGGGCGCAAGCCUGAUCCAGCCAUGCCGCGUGCAGGAAGACGCAUCUAUGGUGUGUAAACUGCUUUUGUACGGGAAGAAACACUCCCUCGUGAGGGAGCUUGACGGUACCGUAAGAAUAAGGAUCGGCUAACUUCGUGCCAGCAGCCGCGGUAAUACGGAGGAUCCAAGCGUUAUCCGGAAUCAUUGGGUUUAAAGGGUCCGUAGGCGGUUUAAUAAGUCAGUGGUGAAAGCCCAUCGCUCAACGAUGGAACGGCCAUUGAUACUGUUAGACUUGAAUUACAAGGAAGUAACUAGAAUAUGUAGUGUAGCGGUGAAAUGCUUAGAUAUUACAUGGAAUACCAAUUGCGAAGGCAGGUUACUACUUGUGGAUUGACGCUGAUGGACGAAAGCGUGGGGAGCGAACAGGAUUAGAUACCCCGGUAGUCC